AGAGUUUGAUCCUGGCUCAGGACGAACGCUGGCGGCGCGCCUAACACAUGCAAGUCGAACGGAGCUUACGUUUUGAAGUUUUCGGAUGGAUGAAUGUAAGCUUAGUGGCGGACGGGUGAGUAACACGUGAGCAACCUGCCUUUCAGAGGGGGAUAACAGCCGGAAACGGCUGCUAAUACCGCAUGAUGUUGCGGGGGCACAUGCCCCUGCAACCAAAGGAGCAAUCCGCUGAAAGAUGGGCUCGCGUCCGAUUAGCCAGUUGGCGGGGUAACGGCCCACCAAAGCGACGAUCGGUAGCCGG
rnacentral:rRNA from 1 species